UACGAAGGGGGCUAGCGUUGCUCGGAAUUACUGGGCGUAAAGCGCACGUAGGCGGUUUCUUAAGUCGGGGGUGAAAUCCUGGAGCUCAACUCCAGAACUGCCUUCGAUACUGGGAGACUUGAGUUCGGGAGAGGUGAGUGGAACUGCGAGUGUAGAGGUGAAAUUCGUAGAUAUUCGCAAGAACACCAGUGGCGAAGGCGGCUCACUGGUCCGGUACUGACGCUGAGGUGCGAAAGCGGUGGGGAGCAAACAGGG
rnacentral:rRNA from 1 species